rnacentral:rRNA from 2 species
UGCAGUCGACGAACUCUGGUAUUGAUUGGUGCUUGCAUCAUGAUUUACAUUUGAGUGAGUGGCGAACUGGUGAGUAACACGUGGGAAACCUGCCCAGAAGCGGGGGAUAACACCUGGAAACAGAUGCUAAUACCGCAUAACAACUUGGACCGCAUGGUCCGAGCUUGAAAGAUGGCUUCGGCUAUCACUUUUGGAUGGUCCCGCGGCGUAUUAGCUAGAUGGUGGGGUAACGGCUCACCAUGGCAAUGAUACGUAGCCGACCUGAGAGGGUAAUCGGCCACAUUGGGACUGAGACACGGCCCAAACUCCUACGGGAGGCAGCAGUAGGGAAUCUUCCACAAUGGACGAAAGUCUGAUGGAGCAACGCCGCGUGAGUGAAGAAGGGUUUCGGCUCGUAAAACUCUGUUGUUAAAGAAGAACAUAUCUGAGAGUAACUGUUCAGGUAUUGACGGUAUUUAACCAGAAAGCCACGGCUAACUACGUGCCAGCAGCCGCGGUAAUACGUAGGUGGCAAGCGUUGUCCGGAUUUAUUGGGCGUAAAGCGAGCGCAGGCGGUUUUUUAAGUCUGAUGUGAAAGCCUUCGGCUCAACCGAAGAAGUGCAUCGGAAACUGGGAAACUUGAGUGCAGAAGAGGACAGUGGAACUCCAUGUGUAGCGGUGAAAUGCGUAGAUAUAUGGAAGAACACCAGUGGCGAAGGCGGCUGUCUGGUCUGUAACUGACGCUGAGGCUCGAAAGUAUGGGUAGCAAACAGGAUUAGAUACCCUGGUAGUCCAUACCGUAAACGAUGAAUGCUAAGUGUUGGAGGGUUUCCGCCCUUCAGUGCUGCAGCUAACGCAUUAAGCAUUCCGCCUGGGGAGUACGGCCGCAAGGCUGAAACUCAAAGGAAUUGACGGGGGCCCGCACAAGCGGUGGAGCAUGUGGUUUAAUUCGAAGCUACGCGAAGAACCUUACCAGGUCUUGACAUACUAUGCAAAUCUAAGAGAUUAGACGUUCCCUUCGGGGACAUGGAUACAGGUGGUGCAUGGUUGUCGUCAGCUCGUGUCGUGAGAUGUUGGGUUAAGUCCCGCAACGAGCGCAACCCUUAUUAUCAGUUGCCAGCAUUAAGUUGGGCACUCUGGUGAGACUGCCGGUGACAAACCGGAGGAAGGUGGGGAUGACGUCAAAUCAUCAUGCCCCUUAUGACCUGGGCUACACACGUGCUACAAUGGAUGGUACAACGAGUUGCGAACUCGCGAGAGUAAGCUAAUCUCUUAAAGCCAUUCUCAGUUCGGAUUGUAGGCUGCAACUCGCCUACAUGAAGUCGGAAUCGCUAGUAAUCGCGGAUCAGCAUGCCGCGGUGAAUACGUUCCCGGGCCUUGUACACACCGCCCGUCACACCAUGAGAGUUUGUAACACCCAAAGUCGGUGGGGUAACC